CCUACGGGUGGCAGCAGUAGGGAAUAUUGCUCAAUGGCGGAAACCCUGAAGCAGCAACGCCGCGUGGAGGAUGAAGGUUUUCGGAUUGUAAACUCCUUUUGUUAGAGAAGAUAAUGACGGUAUCUAACGAAUAAGCACCGGCUAACUCCGUGCCAGCAGCCGCGGUAAUACGGAGGGUGCAAGCGUUACUCGGAAUCACUGGGCGUAAAGAGGGCGUAGGCGGGAUAGCAAGUCAGAUGUGAAAUCCUAUGGCUUAACCAUAGAACUGCAUUUGAAACUGUUAUUCUAGAGUAUGGGAGAGGUAGGUGGAAUUCUUGGUGUAGGGGUAAAAUCCGUAGAGAUCAAGAGGAAUACUCAUUGCGAAGGCGACCUGCUAGAACAUAACUGACGCUGAUGCGCGAAAGCGUGGGGAGCAAACAGGAUUAGAUACCCUUGUAGUC
rnacentral:rRNA from 1 species